UUUCGGGGUAAGAACUGGUUUAGC
rnacentral:piRNA from 1 species